rnacentral:lncRNA from 1 species
ACAAUAGGGUCGGUGCUACCGGAGAAAUGCUUCGUACCCAACCGGGAUAAAUGUUGAAGCAGACUCAGAUAGUCCACCUUUUUUCCAGACUUUUCCGGUGGAUCGAUCUCGAUCACCUCGACCGUUUCCACAACUGGACCAUUGGUGUUGGGGGUGGUCGUAGCCACAGGCGUAGCCUGGCCAACCGAGGAGUUCACUAGUGGCGUGAACAGUUGCGCCAUGGCCGCAACCUGAGUCCCCAUUACCUUCAUAGCCUCUAACAAGUCCUCUUUGGACAGUGUUGCGGGCACAUUAGCCGUUCCAUCGGCCAUUCUCUCAUGCUGGUCACCAUCGCGGUUAGCGUUCGAGGAUUCCACUUCCUCGUCACUCUCCCGAUGUU